CAUGCCGCGUGUGUGAAGAAGGCUUUCGGGUUGUAAAGCACUUUCAGUGAGGAGGAAAACCUUAUGGCCAAUACCCAUAAGGCUUGACGUUACUCACAGAAGAAGCACCGGCUAACUCCGUGCCAGCACCGGCGGUGACUGAGCGGGCUGGCAAGGCGCAUA
rnacentral:rRNA from 1 species